rnacentral:rRNA from 1 species
AUACGGAGGGUGCAAGCGUUAUCCGGAAUCAUUGGGUUUAAAGGGUCCGCAGGCGGUCAAUUAAGUCAGAGGUGAAAGCCCAUCGCUCAACGAUGGAACUGCCUUUGAUACUGGUUGACUUGAGUUGUACGGAAGUAGAUAGAAUAAGUAGUGUAGCGGUGAAAUGCAUAGAUAUUACUUAGAAUACCGAUUGCGAAGGCAGUCUACUACGUAUAUACUGACGCUGAGGGACGAAAGCGUGGGGAGCGAACAGGAUUAGAAACCCUAGUAGUCC